CUACGGGACGCACCAGUGGGGAAUAUUGCACAAUGGGCGCAAGCCUGAUGCAGCAACGCCGCGUGAGUGAAGAAGGCCUUCGGGUCGUAAAGCUCUGUCCUCUGGGACGAAUAAAUGACGGUACCAGAGGAGGAAGCCCCGGCUAACUACGUGCCAGCAGCCGCGGGAAUACGUAGGGGGCAAGCGUUAUCCGGAAUCACUGGGCGUAAAGGGUGCGUAGGUGGUCUAUCAAGUCAGAAGUGAAAGGCAGUGGCUCAACCAUUGUAAGCUUUUGAAACUGAUGGACUUGAGUGUAGGAGAGGUAAGUGGAAUUCCUAGUGUAGCGGUGAAAUGCGUAGAUAUUAGGAGGAACACCAGUGGCGAAGGCGACUUACUGGACUAUUACUGACACUGAGGCACGAAAGCGUGGGGAGCGAACAGGAUUAGAUACCCCAGUAGUC
rnacentral:rRNA from 1 species